UGGGCGGUGGUCUGUUGGCAGGCCAGCGCGGCCCUGACCCGCGCCACCGCAGGUUCGAUUCCUGCCCGCCCAG
rnacentral:tRNA from 1 species